UACGAAGGGUGCAAACGUUGCUCGGAAUUAUUGGGCGUAAAGCGCACGUAGGCGGCAUCGCAAGUCGGAUGUGAAAUCUUAUGGCUUAACCAUAAAAGUGCAUCCGAAACUGCAGUGCUUGAGUACUUAAGAGGAUCGCGGAAUUCCCGGUGUAGAGGUGAAAUUCGUAGAUAUCUGGAGGAACACCGGUGGCGAAGGCGGCAUCCUGGACCGGCAUUGACGCUGAGGCGCGAAAGCUAGGGGAGCAAACGGG
rnacentral:rRNA from 1 species